GCCUUCAAAGGUUUGUGUAUGAGCAGGUGGUGUUUUUUUUUUUUUUGGUGUGUGUCUCGCUUCCCCCAUGAAAAUCCACAUUUUACUGCUGAAUCAGAGCAAACAGCAAUCAGGUUUUCCACAACUUACCGUUUGCUCUGAAUCAGCAGUAAAAUGUGGUUUUUUCCAGGGAAAGAGCCAGGACCAAAACAAAAAACAAAGAACCAACCACUUGGACACAGAGCUUUAAAGCA